rnacentral:rRNA from 1 species
GGGCCCGCACAAGCGGUGGAGCAUGUGGUUUAAUUCGAUGAUACGCGAGGAACCUUACCAGGACUUAAAUGCAUUACGAUCGGUUGGGAAACCAACUUUUCUUCGGACGGAAUGCAAGGUGCUGCAUGGUUGUCGUCAGCUCGUGCCGUGAGGUGUCAGGUUAAGUCCUAUAACGAGCGCAACCCCUAUUCUUAGUUGCCAGCGGUUCGGCCGGGGACUCUAAGAAAACUGCCAGCGCAAGCUGUGAGGAAGGUGGGGAUGACGUCAAAUCAUCACGGCCUACGUCCUGGGCCACACACGUGCUACAAUGGUAGGUACAAAGGGCAGCCACUUGGUGACAAGGAGCUAA